rnacentral:rRNA from 1 species
UACAAUGUCCGCCCGGCCCUACGAGCACCAGCUUAAAACCCAAAGACCUGACGGUGCCUUAGAUCCCCCUAGAGGAGCCUGUUCUAGAACCGAUUAUCCCCGUUAAACCUCACCACCCCUAGCAAUAUCAGCCUAUAUACCACCGUCGCCAGCUUACCCUGUGAAGGAAUAAAAGUAAGCACAAUGGGUAAAACCCAAUACGUCAGGUCGAGGUGUAGCAAAUGGAGUGGGAAGAAAUGGGCUACAUUUUCUACCACAGAAUAAAACGGAUACGCAACAUGAAAACCAAUGCUUGAAGGAGGAUUUAGUAGUAAAAGGGAAAAAGAGAGUCCCUUUGAACCCGGCUCUAAGGCGCGUACACAC